rnacentral:rRNA from 1 species
GAUGAACGCUGGCGGCGUGCCUAAUACAUGCAAGUCGAGCGAACAGAUGAGGAGCUUGCUCCUCUGACGUUAGCGGCGGACGGGUGAGUAACACGUGGAUAACCUACCUAUAAGACUGGGAUAACUUCGGGAAACCGGAGCUAAUACCGGAUAAUAUAUUGAACCGCAUGGUUCAAUAGUGAAAGACGGUUUUGCUGUCACUUAUAGAUGGAUCCGCGCCGCAUUAGCUAGUUGGUAAGGUAACGGCUUACCAAGGCAACGAUGCGUAGCCGACCUGAGAGGGUGAUCAGCCACACUGGAACUGAGACACGGUCCAGACUCCUACGGGAGGCAGCAGUAGGGAAUCUUCCGCAAAGGGCGAAAGCUUGACGGAGCAACGCCGCGUGAGUGAUGAAGGUCUUCGGAUCGUAAAACUCUGUUAUUAGGGAAGAACAAAUGUGUAAGUAACUAUGCACGUCUUGACGGUACCUAAUCAGAAAGCCACGGCUAACUACGUG